rnacentral:rRNA from 1 species
GUGGGGAAUAUUGGACAAUGGGCGCAAGCCUGAUCCAGCCAUACCGCGUGGGUGAAGAAGGCCUUCGGGUUGUAAAGCCCUUUUGUUGGGAAAGAAAUCCAGCCGGUUAAUACCUGGUUGGGAUGACGGUACCCAAAGAAUAAGCACCGGCUAACUUCGUGCCAGCAGCCGCGGUAAUACGAAGGGUGCAAGCGUUACUCGGAAUUACUGGGCGUAAAGCGUGCGUAGGUGGUUGUUUAAGUCCGUUGUGAAAGCCCUGGGCUCAACCUGGGAAUUGCAGUGGAUACUGGGCAACUAGAGUGUGAUAGAGGGUGGCGGAAUUCCCGGUGUAGCAGUGAAAUGCGUAGAUAUCGGGAGGAACAUCCGUGGCGAAGGCGGCCACCUGGGUCAACACUGACACUGAGGCACGAAAGCGUGGGGAGCAA